CCUAAAGACUGGCCUUGCCUUUUGUGGUCAGCAAUCUUUCUUCCUUGUGACUCCACCAUUCUAGACAGAAAACAGUUAAUCCAGCAUGACUUGGGAUCCUACCCAAGAUUUACUCAAACAUUCUCUGCCAAGUGCUCAUCUCCACCAGCUGCUUUCGUCUCCUGAUGAGCAGUGCUUGAAGUAUGGCCAUUGUUCUCUGGGAACUGCUGAAUGGCUCAGAGCCGGCCGAUUAUCACAAGGCACACUUUUGGUGUUAGGCCAUCUCUGAGAGAGGACUGGUCCUAGGCCCCACCAGGAGCUGCUAGGAUGGGGCUCUGGGCACCUGUACAGGUGAACCCAGUUCUGCUGUGGAGUAGUGCAUCAGAAACAUGGAAAAAAUAGCCUGACGCUCGGACCUGGUUCAGUUCUUCAACAUGAAGAUGACAUUUCUGUAUUCAAGAUAGCCAGGGAACAGAGCAGACAAUGUGAAGACAAUGUGGUGCAUACACAGCAUGGGACAUUACACAGUUGGAAAGAAGGAUGAAGAAUGACAACUGCAGGAAAAUGGAUAUAACUGAUGUUAAGCAAAAUAAACCAGACUCAGAAAGACCAGA